GACAGAGGGUGCAAACGUUGUUCGGAUUCAUUGGGCGUAAAGGGUGCGUAGGUGGCGGGGUAAGUCAGGUGUGAAAUCUCGGGGCUCAACCCCGAAACUGCACUUGAUACUGCCUUGCUCGAGUACUGGAGAGGAGAUUGGAAUUUACGGUGUAGCAGUGAAAUGCGUAGAUAUCGUAAGGAAGACCAGUGGCGAAGGCGAAUCUCUGGACAGUUACUGACACUGAGGCACGAAGGCCAGGGGAGCAAACGGG
rnacentral:rRNA from 1 species